GAAGCUUGUCCGAUCCCGCUCUUCUCCUCCUCUCCCUCUGCUAUUGACGGCGAGGCUUGAAGGGAUCCCUUCUUUCUUCAUACAAUAAAAAGAAAAAAAAGAUAAAUCACAAUAAGGACCCCGACCGACCUCUUUCCUCUCCUUCUAUCGGCGCCGCGUCUCAAUUUCUCGGGGAAGAUGAGGCGGUCAUCCACCAGGAAGACGGGUUCGGGCGGGAAAGUGAGCGCUUCUUCUUGUUCAUCCGAUCUCUUUCGCUACGGAUGAACGGUUAACUUGAAGGCAGAUUGAAACUUUCAUGAAUAUGUUUGAAGGAGCAGGGACAAGCACUACAAGGAGCUAUACAAGAUGCAUGAAUUUUGUAUAUUUGAACUGACGACGUCUCUUUGCAAUACUUGUAAAUGAAUUUGAUGUUGCUAUUAGGGCAAAGUGCUUUGCCAUAUGUCAUAUGCUGACGGCACUAUGCUAAUUUAUGGGACAAGGCCUUGCUGAACUCCAUGUUAGAGCAGUCUGAGGGAAGUCCUUAGUUGUAAGGUCAGUUAAAAAGUAACCAUAGUUGCAAUAAUUAUGAGAUGCAAGUCUAGUAGGAAUUGAUAUGAAGCCCCCAUCAAAAUUGAUGGAACUACAGAAAAGGUUCCAUUGGAUAUACUAGUAAA